UACGUAGGGUGCAAGCGUUAAUCGGAAUUACUGGGCGUAAAGCGUGCGUAGACGGUUAUUUAAGUCGGAUGUGAAAGCCCCGGGCUCAACCUGGGAAUUGCAUUCGAGACUGAAUAGCUAGGGUGCGGUAGAGGGAAGCGGAAUUUCCGGUGUAGCGGUGAAAUGCGUAGAUAUCUGGAGGAACACCGGUGGCGAAGGCGGCAUCCUGGACCAACACUGACACUGAGGAGCGAAAGCCAGGGGAGCAAACGGG
rnacentral:rRNA from 1 species